rnacentral:lncRNA from 1 species
CGAAGGGACCCCACACCAAUACCAAGUGGGAGACUUCGUCUAUAUAAGACGACAUCACGUGUCAUCCCUGGAGCCUCGCUGGAAAGGAACCUGGUGGGCAUGUGACUCAGGGUUAACUCCUUGCAUUUCAGCCCAGAUAUUUAACAACUCUGUAAAUUAUUGUGUAAUGGUACAAAUAUUUCCCAGAGUGCUCUAUCAUGACGCAAAUACAUUUGAAGAUCAAAUAAGGGGAUAUACCACCCGAUUCCGCCGGGAACCUGUGUCCCUCACUUUAGCCAUAUUACUAGAAAUAGGAGUUGCUAUAGGAGUGGGUACAGGAACCGCUGCCCUUGUCCAUGGGUCUCAACAAAUGGCCCAAUUACAAGCAGCAAUAGAUCAGGACUUAAAAACAUUAGAAACCUCCAUCACAGCCUUACAAGAGUCCCUAACCUCUCUCUCUAAAGUUGUUUUACAAAAUAGACGAGGGUUAGACCUCCUCUUCAUGAGGGAAGGGGGACUCUGUGCUGCCCUAAGGGAGAAAUGUUGCUUCUAUGCUGACCAUAGUGGGGUAGUCAAAGAAUCAAUGACUAAAUUAAGAAAACGCCUUGAGGAGCGACAACGAGAGAGAGAGGCUCAAAAAGGAUGGUUUGAGUCUUGGUUCACACAAUCCCCCUGGCUAACUACACUCUUAUCAGCCCUAGCUGGUCCUUUAAUAAUCCUCAUGUUAUUGUUGACUGUGGGACCCUGUUUACUCAACCGUGUGGUCUCCUUUCUCCAAGCUCAAAUUGGACAAGUUAAACUUAUGGUAAUAAGACAACAGUAUAUCCCUUUAGCAGACACAGAGUGUGAUACCCCUCAAUAAUCUGUCACUUCUAAGAUUAGAAGUACUCAGAAAAAGAAGUGGGGAAUGUAAAGGUUAAAUUUAAGUUUUGCUCUCCUGUUAAGUUUAAGUUCUGUUUUCCUGGAACCCGAAACUUAUGUUAAAAACAGUUACUUAUGUCAAAAUGUACCCUGACCCAACACCCCCUGACAAAACGCAUGAUUAUUCUGUAAUGGUUAUUUUGUAACAAUCCCACCCUCACACCCUAAC